CAUGUCUUUUUGAAUAAUUAAUUUAAAGUCUGGCCUGCCCGCUGAUAUUUUGAAUGGCCGCAGUAUAUUGACUGUGCAAAGGUAGCAUAAUCAUUAGUUUUUUAAUUGAGAACUGGAAUGAAUGGCUGGACGAGAAAGGAACUGUCUUUUAAUGAUUUUAUUAAAAUUUUAUUUUUAAGUUAAAAAGCUUAAAUUUUUUAUAAAGACGAGAAGACCCUAUAGAGUUUGAUUUGUAGGUAUUUAAGCUUAUUAGAUGCACGUGAGUUAAAGUAUUUUAUGAAUUUUGUUGGGGUGACGUAAAAAUUAGUUAAACUUUUUAUUUAUUUAAACAUUUAUUGAUGAUUAUUUGAUCCUGGGGACUGGAUUAAUAGAUUAAAUUACCUUAGGGAUAACAGCGUAAUUUUUUUUGAGAGUUC
rnacentral:rRNA from 1 species